AUUGAACGCUGGCGGCAUGCCUUACACAUGCAAGUCGAACGGUAACAGGUCUUCGGAUGCUGACGAGUGGCGAACGGGUGAGUAAUACAUCGGAACGUGCCCGAUCGUGGGGAUAACGCAGCGAAAGCUGUGCUAAUACCGCAUACGAUCUACGGAUGAAAGCGGGGGAGUCGCAAGACCUCGCGCGGACGGAGCGGCCGAUGGCAGAUUAGGUAGGNGGUGGGGUAAAGGCUCACCAAGCCUUCGAUCUGUAGCUGGUCUGAGAGGACGACCAGCACACUGGGACUGAGACACGGCCCAGACUCCUACGGGAGGCAGCAGUGGGGAAUUUUGGACAAUGGGCGCAAGCCUGAUCCAGCCAUGCCGCGU
rnacentral:rRNA from 1 species